UACGUAGGGUGCAGGCGUUAAUCGGAAUUACGGGGCGUAAAGCGUGCGCAGGCGGUCUUUUAAGUCAGAUGUGAAAUCCCCGGGCUUAACCUGGGAACUGCGUUUGAAACUGGAAGGCUAGAGUGUGGCAGAGGGGGGUGGAAUUCCACGUGUAGCAGUGAAAUGCGUAGAGAUGUGGAGGAACACCGAUGGCGAAGGCAGCCCCCUGGGCUAACACUGACGCUCAUGCACGAAAGCGUGGGGAGCAAACAGG
rnacentral:rRNA from 1 species